AGCAGCCGCGGUAAUUCCAGCUCCAAUAGCGUAUAUUAAAGUUGUUGCAGUUAAAAAGCUCGUAGUUGAAUUUCGGCGUUAGUAGGUUGGUCAUGCCUCUGGUAUGUACUGGUCUCACUGAUUCCUCCUUCCUGAUGAGCCGUAAUGCCAUUAAUUUGGUGUUGCGGGGAAUUUGGACUGUUACUUUGAAAAAUUAGAGUGUUUAAAGCAAGCUAACGCUUGAAUACAUUAGCAUGGAAUAAUGAAAUAGGACGUUCGAUCCUAUUUUGUUGGUUUCUAGGAUUGACGUAAUGAUUAAUAGGGAUAGUUGGGGGCAUUAGUAUUCAAUUGUCAGAGGUGAAAUUCUUGGAUUUAUUGAAGACUAACUACUGCGAAAGCAUUUGCCAAGGAUGUUUUCAUUAAUCAAGAACGAAAGUUAGGGGAUCGAAGACGAUCAGAUACCGUCGUAGU
rnacentral:rRNA from 1 species